rnacentral:rRNA from 1 species
GGGAAGCUUACAUGGGCAGUCGAGGGGCAUCGGGAGGGAAGCUUGCUUUCCUUGCCGGCGACCGGCGCACGGGUGAGUAACACGUAUGCAACCUGCCCUCUUCAGGGGGACAACCUUCCGAAAGGGAGGCUAAUCCCGCGUAUAUCGGUUUCGGGCAUCCGAGAUCGAGGAAAGAUUCAUCGGAAGAGGAUGGGCAUGCGGCGCAUUAGCUUGACGGCGGGGUAACGGCCCACCGUGGCGACGAUGCGUAGGGGUUCUGAGAGGAAGGUCCCCCACACUGGUACUGAGACACGGACCAGACUCCUACGGGAGGCAGCAGUGAGGAAUAUUGGUCAAUGGGAGAGAUCCUGAACCAGCCAAGCCGCGUGAGGGAAGACGGCCCUAUGGGUUGUAAACCUCUUUUGUCGGAGAACAAAACCCGGGACGUGUCCCGGACUGCGUGUAUCCGAAGAAAAAGCAUCGGCUAACUCCGUGCCAGCAGCCGCGGUAAUACGGAGGAUGCGAGCGUUAUCCGGAUUUAUUGGGUUUAAAGGGUGCGUAGGCGGUCCGUUAAGUCAGCGGUAAAAUUGCGGGGCUCAACCCCGUCGAGCCGUUGAAACUGGCAGACUUGAGUUGGCGAGAAGUACGCGGAAUGCGCGGUGUAGCGGUGAAAUGCAUAGAUAUCGCGCAGAACUCCGAUUGCGAAGGCAGCGUACCGGCGCCAGACUGACGCUGAGGCACGAAAGCGUGGGGAUCGAACAGGAUUAGAUA